AUGAAUCCCCUGCAUCAAUUUGAUCCAAUUUUUAACAAAUAGGUGUAAGAUUUCAGUCAUAUAUAAAGUCAAAUUUUCAUGGUGGGAUGUAGGUUUUCUUGUCGCAUUCAACAUAAUGAUGAGAAAACUUGUGUGCAUGCAAAGUAGGCCGAUCAUCAUAAGUAAGCUGCAAUUUGAUAUAAGAUACAGUGAUAGCUCAACAAAAUCUUACCAUUUCAAGCUGCAUGCAGCUUGUCUGGAUGCUCAUAAAAUUUCUGAAAAAGUGAAGCGAUUUUUUGAAAUUUAGCAUAAAUAGCUUUCAAAAUGCACCUGUAGAUGUGCAAAAAGGAGAGGUUAGAAACAAAACAAAAUAAUAACACAGGUCUACUUUUGAGCAUCAUCUAUAUGUUUAGUGCCACUGAAAGUGAAGCCCCCCUGCAGACAACUUUUACAGUACGGUAGAAAUGAGGUAAAUGCCAAAAAUAAACAGUGUUAUAUUUGAUUUUGAUAAUGUUAGAAGAUUAUGUGUAUAAUUUAUAUUAUAUUUGUCAAGAAUACAUAUAACAGCAGUUUAUGUAAUUUCCUAAAUUGAGUGAAAGAGUAGUUUACGCGCAAGUACCAAAUUGACCUUCACAGCUCACCAAGACCUUCCGGUCAAAGAAAAGAAGCUUAUUAAUAUGUAGCAAAUACUAACUAAACUUAUUAAGAUCUCGAAGCCAACAAGCACAACUUGCUAUGUUGAUAAGCAUUUUGUUCAAUAACCAUGGACAAAGCUACAAGACGGCACACAAAAAAACGCAGCAACAUGAUGCUCGUUUAGUAUCCAUACCUUAUACCCAUGAUACUCAUCAACUGUCACAUAGGCAGUGUCAUUGCUUAGGCAUCAUCCCUAUUCUUCCACAAGAAAUAAAUAUGACGAUCCACUGUAUCUUCUCAUUUUUAUAUUUCAUUUCUAGUACGUAAUAUUGUGUCGUCGUCCAUCUUUCAAAGUUCCGGUUGUUAAUUCUGCAUCAUCAGGUGUGGCAAACUGGAGUCAACAAAAACUCUGAAUCAUUUAUAGUCUCAGUGUUAUCACAAUCUUCCCUGCCAAAGAAUCAUAAUUGUUAAAAGCAAAACAUAUGUUUAUAAAUUCUACUAUGAUAGAAAUGCACAUGAGAGAAAUGAUGCUAGCAGUUUGGGAAAUCUAGAGGCACCAAAACGACUGCACUUUCAGGAACAACAUGGCAUCUAUGCGAGACGUGCUGCAGGCCAUUAGACGGGGCAUCGAUCUAUGGAGGCAGGCCGGAGCAACAUGUUUGCUGCACCCGUUCACUUUGCUGCCAGAGGGGAUCGGCUGAAGCCUCUCCUCUGCUCCCUUUUCCUUUUUUCCGUAGCAAUAGUCUUGUCUCUUUUAUCUGUUCUCUGAUCAUAGGAUCAGCACUAUGUAUUCUUUUAUCCACUGCUCUCUGUUAUGGGUAAUAUGAAAAAGCCAGUAAUGUUGGAUCUUUCAAAAAAAGAAAGGAACUUGAUUGUGCCCCAAUACAUAGUUUUCAUCUCUUCAUUAGAAUAGUAAAAGACAAUACGUAUGCAUGAGCUGAAUUAGAUCGAUCAAUUAAUGCUAAUUGUCAUGUUUCGCUCACCUGUAUGGAAAGAACAUCGACAUCAUUCAUAAAUUAAAAAAAGGACCGCUUGGGAAAAUUCAAUCAUAUCUAGAGAAGAGAUCUCAGUACAGAACCAACCUUGGUUUCUUUGGACAGAUUCUUAGUGCAGGGAUGAAUCUCUUCCAGUCUCUUAUCUCUUAAACGAUGAUCUAAAGAAAUAUCAACACAUGAGAACAUCCCAUAAACAGGGAUGGAAAGGAGGGGAGGGGGAGGGGCGUUCAAAAGGGACUCACCAGUACAAACCACGGCCAGAUCUGGGCUCUGACAGGCAAAGAAGACACUGUAUCCAUGAAAGGAAGGACGUGGAAACAUAAUGGGCUCCUCGCCGCUGUCGCUGCAAGGAACGUCUAGGGAUGCAUCCUACACUGCAUUCUCGUCUCCACCUAAGUAGCAUCAGGAGGAAUGUAGGGAAGGUAAGAUGAUUUCACCUCCAACACAAGAAGGAAGAAGUUGAUUUUACCUGGAAUCUCUACAAAGCGUAAGGCAGACGGGAGGGAGAUGUCGUGACGCCUCGGGUACGCGUAUAGCGUCGCG
rnacentral:lncRNA from 1 species